rnacentral:rRNA from 1 species
AUUCCAGCUCCAAUAGCGUAUAUUAAAGUUGUUGCAGUUAAAAAGCUCGUAGUUGAACUUUGGGCCUGGGUGGCCGGUCCGAUUUUUUCGUGUACUGGAAUGCAUCCGGGCCUUUCCUUCUGGCUAACCCCAAGUCCUUGUGGCUUGGCGGCGAACCAGGACUUUUACUUUGAAAAAAUUAGAGUGUUCAAAGCAGGCGUAUUGCUCGAAUAUAUUAGCAUGGAAUAAUGGAAUAGGACGUUUGGUUCUAUUUUGUUGGUUUCUAGGACCAUCGUAAUGAUUAAUAGGGACGGUCGGGGGCAUCAGUAUUCAAUUGUCAGAGGUGAAAUUCUUGGAUUUAUUGAAGACUAACUACUGCGAAAGCAUUUGCCAAGGACGUUUUCAUUAAUCAAGAACGUAAAGUUA